UACGGAGGGAGCUAGCGUUGUUCGGAAUUACUGGGCGUAAAGCGCGCGUAGGCGGCUUUGUAAGUUAGAGGUGAAAGCCCGGAGCUCAACUCCGGAACUGCCUUUAAAACUGCAUCGCUUGAAUCCAGGAGAGGUGAGUGGAAUUCCGAGUGUAGAGGUGAAAUUCGUAGAUAUCAGGAGGAACACCGGUGGCGAAGGCGGCGUUCUGGACUGCUACUGACACUGAGGAACGAAAGCCAGGGGAGCAAACGGG
rnacentral:rRNA from 1 species